GAUGAACGCUGGCGGCGUGCCUAACACAUGCAAGUCGAGCGAUCUUCUUCGGAAGAGAGCGGCGGACGGGUGAGUAACGCGUGGGUAACCUGCCUCAUACACAUGGAUAACAUACCGAAAGGUAUGCUAAUACAAGAUAAUAUAAGAGAUUCGCAUGGAUUUCUUAUCAAAGCUCCGGCGGUAUGAGAUGGACCCGCGUCUGAUUAGCUAGUUGGUAAGGUAACGGCUUACCAAGGCGACGAUCAGUAGUCGACCUGAGAGGGUGAUCGGCCACAUUGGAACUGAGACACGUUCCAAACUCCUACGUGAGGCAGCAGUGGGGAAUAUUGCACAAUGGGCGAAAGCCUGAUGCAGCAACGCCGCGUGAGCGAUGAAGGCCUUCGGGUCGUAAAGCUCUGUCCUCAAGGAAGAUAAUGACGGUACUUGAGGAGGAAGCCCCGGCUAACUACGUGCCAGCCGCCGCGGUAACAC
rnacentral:rRNA from 1 species